ACGAAUGGUCGGUACAAUAGGCUGCGAAACCGCGAGGUGGAGCCAAUCCUCAAAGUCUGUCUCAGUUCAGAUUGUAGGCUGCAACUCGCCUGCAUGAAGUUGGAGUUGCUAGUAAACGCAGGUCAGCUAUACUGCGUUGAAUACGUUCCCGGGGUUU
rnacentral:rRNA from 1 species